rnacentral:rRNA from 1 species
UACGAACCGUCCAACCGUUAUUCGGAAUUACUGGGCUUAAAGGGUACGUAGGCGGCGCUGUCAGUCGGGUGUGAAAUCCCACGGCUCAACCGUGGAAUUGCGCCCGAUACUGCAGUGCUUGAGGGAGACAGAGGUAAGCGGAACUGAUGGUGGAGCGGUGAAAUGCGUUGAUAUCAUCAGGAACACCAGUGGCGAAAGCGGCUUACUGGGUCUCUUCUGACGCUGAGGUACGAAAGCCAGGGGAGCGAAGGGG